rnacentral:rRNA from 1 species
UACAGAGGUCUCAAGCGUUUGUUCGGAUUCAUUGGGGCGUAAAGGGUGCGUAGGUGGCGCGGUAAGUCGGGUGUGAAAUUUCGGAGCUUAACUCCGAAACUGCAUUCGAUACUGCCGUGCUUGAGGACUGGAGAGGAGACUGGAAUUUACGGUGUAGCAGUGAAAUGCGGUAGAGAUCGUAAGGAAGACCAGUGGCGAAGGCGGGUCUC